GGUUGAUCCUGCCGGACCCCACUGCUAUCGGGAUAGGACUAAGCCAUGCUAGUCGUGCGCCUUCUAGCCAUGAUGGAGGCGCGGCACACAGCUCAGUAGCACGUGGCUAACCUACCCUUGGGACGGAAACACCCCCGGGAAACUGGGGCUAAUUUUCGAUAGGUGAAGGCUCCUGGAAUGGACUUUCGCCUAAAGGGCGUUUAGAUCAUGCUUCUAGGCGUUGCCCAAGGAUGGGGCCGCGGCCGAUCAGGUUGUUGGUGAGGUAAUGGCUCACCAAGCCUAUAACCGGUGCGGGCCGUGGGAGCGGGAGCCCGGAGAUGGGCACUGAGACAAGGGCCCAGGCCCUACGGGGCGCAACAGGCGCGAAAACUUCGCAAUAAGCGAAAGCUUGACGGGGCUAUCCCGAGUGCCAUCCGCUGAGGAUGGCUUUUCUCUAGUAUAGAUAGCUGGGGGAAUAAGGAGAGGGCAAGUCUGGUGUCAGCCGCCGCGGUAAUACCAGCUCUCCGAGUGGUGUGGACGAUUAUUGGGCCUAAAGCAUCCGUAGCCGGCUGAGCAAGUCCCCUGUUAAACCCAACGAUUCAAUCGUUGGCUCGCGGGGGAUACUGCUCGGCUAGGGGGCGAGAGAGGCCGUCGGUAUUCCCGGGGUAGGGGUGAAAUCCUAUAAUCCCGGGAGGACCACCAGUGGCGAAGGCUGUCGGCUAGAACGCGCUCGACGGUGAGGGAUGAAAGCUGGGGGAGCGAACCGGAUUAGAUACCCGGGUAGUCCCAGCUGUAAACGAUGCAGGCUAGGUGUUAGGGCGGCCACGUGCCGCUCUAGUGCCGCAGGGAAGCUGUUAAGCCUGCCGCCUGGGGAGUACGGCCGCAAGGCUGAAACUUAAAGGAAUUGGCGGGGGAGCACCACAAGGGGUGAAGCUUGCGGUUUAAUUGGAGUCAACGCCGGG
rnacentral:rRNA from 1 species